CCGAGUUACCAAACUCCAAACCUUUGUGAAUCUACCUAUUGUUGCUUCGGCGGACGGCUCCGGGGGAGCCUUAAGCCAUUAUGGUGUCCGCCGAAAGCCCCAGACUCUACAUUUUUAGGUGUUUUGCCUGAGUAAAAAACAAACAAGUAA
rnacentral:misc_RNA from 1 species